UACAGAGGUCCCAAGCGUUGUUCGGAUUCAUUGGGCGUAAAGGGUGCGUAGGUGGCGGGGUAAGUCAGGUGUGAAAUUUCGGAGCUUAACUCCGAAACUGCAUUGGAUACUGCCUUGCUUGAGGACUGGAGAGGAGACUGGAAUUCACGGUGUAGCAGUGAAAUGCGUAGAGAUCGUGAGGAAGACCAGUGGCGAAGGCGGGUCUCUGGACAGUUCCUGACACUGAGGCACGAAGGCCAGGGGAGCAAACGGG
rnacentral:rRNA from 1 species